rnacentral:pre_miRNA from 1 species
GGGGGAGGAAGUGGAUGUUCAUUGUAGCUCCUUGUUUGACUCGGCUUCGUCUCCAACGC